rnacentral:lncRNA from 1 species
UAUCACUCUUUUUCAUCUACAGGCCUCUUACCGGAAUGGGAGGAUUGUUCUUCCCAAUCCUCAUCCCUCUGGUCUGAUCGACCCUCAGAAAGACGUAAGCUUAGUUUUCUUUGUUAAACAGAAGGAAUAUGGCUUAUCCUUUCCCUUCUCUCCCUUCUUUAACGAGGUUUUCGGGUAUUUCGAGAUUACUCCCCGAAUACUGACUCCUAAU